rnacentral:lncRNA from 10 species
UCAAGAGGUGACUUGGGUACUGUUAAAGAUACUCAGUUUUAUAAGGGAAGCAGAGCAUAAAAGUUUGGAAAAUUUGCAGCCUAUUUGAUAGAAAAGAAAAACCCAUUUUCUGAGGAGAAAUUUAAGCUGGCUUCAGAAAUUUGUAUAAGCAGCAAGGAGCCAAAUGUGAAUGAAUUCCCAAGACCAUGGGGAAAAUGUCUCCAGGCCACGUCAGAGACCUUCAUGGAAGCCCCUCCUGUAACAGGCCCAGAGGCCCAGGAGAAAAAAGUAAUUUUGUGGGCCAGGCUCAGGGUCCCCAUGCUGUGUGCAGCCUGAGGACUAGAUGCCCUGUGUCCCAGCUGCUCCAGCACUGGCUGAAAAGGGCCAAUGUCCAGCUCAGGCUGGCUUCAGAGGGUGGAAGCUGCCAAGCCUUGGCAGCUUCCACAUGGUGUUGAUCCUGAGGGUGCACAGAAGUCAAGAAUUAAGGUUUGGGAAUUUCUGCCUAGAUUUCAGCAGAUGUAUGGAAAUGCCUAGAUUCCCAGGCAAAAGUUUGCUGCAGGGGCGGGGCGCUCAUAGAGAACCUCUUCUAGGGCAAUGUGAAAGGAAAUGUGGGGUUGGAUACCCCACGUAGAGUCCCUACUGCAGCACUGCCUAGUGGAGCUGUGAGAAGAGGACUACCGUCCUUCAGAUCCCAGAAUGGUAGAUUCCCCGAUAGCUUGCACUUUGCACCUGGAAAAGCUGCAGACACUCAAAGCCAGCCGUUAAAGCAGCCAGGAGGGAGACUGUACCCUGCAGAGCCACAGGGGCGGAGCUGCCCAAGACCGUGGGAACCCACCUCUUGCAUCAGCGUGACCUGAAUGUGAGACCUGGAGAAAAAGGAGAUAAUUUUGGAGCUUUAAAAUUUGACUGCCCCACUGGAUUUUGGACUUGCAUGGGCCCUGUAACCCCUUUUUUGGGGCCAAUUUCUCCCAUUUGAAAUGGCUGUUGUGUCUAGGAAGUAACUAGCUUGUUUUUGAUUUUACAGGCUCAUAGGUAGAAGGGACUUGCAUCGUCUCAGAGACUUUGGACUUCAGGCUUUUGGGUUAAUGCAGAAAUGAGUUAAGACUUAACGGUGAUUGUUGGGAAGGCAGUACCCCAGGGAGAGGUAAUUGAAUCAUGAGGGCCGGUCUUUCCUGUGCUGUUCUCCUGAUAGUGAAUAAGUCUCGCGAGAUCUGAUGGGUUUAUCAGGGGUUUCCGCUAUUGUUUCGUCCUCAUUUUCUCUUGCUGCUACCAUGGAAGAAGCGACUUUCGCCUCCCGCCGUGAUUCUGAGGCCUUUCCAGCCAUGUCAAACUCAAAAUGUGACUGAAAAACAGAAGCAUUUGGAAUACGUAACAGAAGUCAUUAAAAAGAGCCAUGUAAUAUGUGCCUGCUUCCCCUUCUGCCAUGAUUGUAAGUUUCCUGAUGCCUUCUCAGCCAUGCAGAACUAGUCUCACUCUAUUGCUCAGGCUGGAGUCAGUGGCGCAAUCUCAGCUCACUCCAACCUCCGCCUCAUGGGUUCAAAUGAUUCUCCUGCCUCAGCCUCCCAAGUAGAUGGGAUUACAGGCACAUGCCCCCAUGCCCAGCUAAUUUUUGUGUUUUUAGUAGAGACUAGGGUUUCACCAUGUUAGCCAGGCUGUUCUCAGACUCCUGACCUCAGGUGAUCCACCUGCCUCGGCCUUCCAAAGUGCUGGGAUUACAGGCAUGAGCCACUGCACCAAGCCUUAUUCUAUUGAUUAUUAUAAGAAGUGUUAACAUCUUGAACUAUGAUUAUAUAUUCAUCAAUUUAAGCAUAUACAUUUGAUUUUGUUAAGUCCUCCUGAAGAAGUCUGUUUAUAAUAUUAAAUAUCCUAGUUGAUCACUGUUUUAAAAUUUACUUUUUUAUAUAUUUUUUUUCACUUAAUGUAACUCUGAUCAAUGCUACUUCAGUAUGCCUGGAAGUGGAAAUUACAAUGUGGAUAUUUUUAAUGAGGAAAAAACUGGCUUUUAAUUUUCAAGUGAGUCUUAUGUACUCCCCCACAUAUUUAGACAUAUAUGUAUGUGUGCACGUGUGCCUAUAUAUACUUAUAUACUUCAUAUAUAUAUACACACACACAUAUAUGUGAAGAGAGAGAGAAUAUGUAUACACACAUACCACAUUUAGCAAGUUUUUAAGUACUUUAGGUGUCGAGCUGUGAAUGAGAAAAAAGAGCAGGGAAUUCAAAUAAAAAUAAUGUGGACUUAAUAUAAUUACUGGUAAUCUUAGAUUUUGUUUCUAUUUACUGUUGAAUUUUAGGUAAAAAUUCAGAAUAUCUUAGAAUAGCUCAUCAAAUUUCCAGUCCAUGAUAUAACCCAGCCCCAUCCCAUAGAACAUGAUACACUGAUUUUUACAUAUUAUAGUUCUUUUAUAUAUUUAGUGAGAAGCAUUAUUUAUCAAUUUUCUUUAAUGUCUUAUUGUAUUGUGUAUUAUAUAAAUAAUUCUAUCAGUAUAUUCCUGUUUAAAAAUGAUUUUUGUAAGGCUUCACUAAGUUGAAAUUUCCAGACAAAGAAAAAGUUGUACCGUCCCUUUUUUCCUUUAACGGAAUCAAGUAAAUCUGAAUGUGUUAGUGGUCUACAUUUCCACUGAGGAUAAUUGACAGACACUGAGGUCUCUCCUUUUAAGUAACUGUCAAAGAGUAUCCUAAGAGGCUCUAGGGAAUAUGGUAAGCGAUUGCUAAUGAUGUUUAUGUGUCUAAAUAUCAUCCUAACAAUGUAACACUCUCCCAUUAACAAAAUUGUUUCUACAAUUACCAUCAACAUUAUUCCAAUAAAUGUAAUCUUGUUAUUUCAUUAUGAAAGUGGUAUUUUGUAUUUCUUUAUAA